AGAGUUUGAUUCUGGCUCAGGAUGAACGCUAGCGGCAGGCUUAACACAUGCAAGUCGAGGGGCAGCGGGAUGUAGCAAUACAUUGCCGGCGACCGGCGGAUGGGUGCGUAACGCGUAUGCAACCUACCUUAUACAGGGGAAUAACCUUUCGAAAGGGAGACUAACACCCAUGGUAUUGAUUUAAGGCAUCUUAGAUUAAUUAAAUAUUUAUAGGUAUAAGAUGGGCAUGCGUAUGAUUAGCUAGUUGGUAAGGUAACGGCUUACCAAGGCGACGAUCAUUAGGGGUUCUGAGAGGAAGGUCCCCCACACUGGUACUGAGACACGGACCAGACUCCUACGGGAGGCAGCAGUGAGGAAUAUUGGUCAAUGGGCGCAAGCCUGAACCAGCCAUGCCGCGUGCCAGGAAGACGGCCUUAUGGGUUGUAAACUGCUUUUACAUAAGACUAACCGUAUAUUUGCGAAUAUACCUGAAUGUAUUAUGAGAAUAAGGAUCGGCUAACUCCGUGCCAGCAGCCGC
rnacentral:rRNA from 1 species